rnacentral:lncRNA from 1 species
UAUAGACGUAAAAUUCGUGGUGUUUCUUCGGACUCUUCUAACAUUGAAACACCUACUGAACAAGUACAACGAAAGUUAACAUUUGCUCGACUUGAAGAGUUAGAUAAACUAAUUAAGGGAGAAAAAGAGAGAUACAGUAAGUUGAAAAGAGACAUAGGCAAAAUUCAAAGUGGCAAGUUGGAUUCAAAACUACCUGAUAUUAUAAAAGCUAU